rnacentral:rRNA from 1 species
AGCAAACAGGAUUAGAUACCCUGGUAGUCCACGCCGUAAACGAUGAUUACUAGGUGUUGGUGGGUACGACCCAUCGGUGCCGCAGCAAACGCAAUAAGUAAUCCACCUGGGGAGUACGUUCGCAAGAAUGAAACUCAAAGGAAUUGACGGGGACCCGCCCAAGCGGUGGAGCAUGUGGUUUAAUUGGAAGCAACGCGAAGACCCUUACCUGGUCUUGACAUCCCUAUGAAUAACGGGCAAUGCCGUUAGUACUUCGGUACAUAGGAGACAGGUGGUGCAUGGUGGUCGUCAGCUCGUGUCGUGAGAUGUUGGGUUAAGUCCCGCAACGAGCGCAACCCUUAUCUCUAGUAGCCAGCAGUAAGAUGGGCACUCUAGAGAGACUGCCGGGGAUAACCCGGAGGAAGGUGGGGAUGACGUCAAAUCAUCAUGCCCCUUAUGACCAGGGCUACACACGUGCUACAAUGGCGUAAACAAAGAGAAGCGAAGUCGUGAGGCAGAGCGAAUCUCAAAAAUAACGUCUCAGUUCGGAUUGUAGUCUGCAACUCGACUACAUGAAGCUGGAAUCGCUAGUAAUCGCAGAUCAGAAUGCUGCGGUGAAUACGUUCCCGGGUCUUGUACACACCGCCCGUCAGACCAUGGGAGUCGGAAAUGCCCGAAGUCGGUGACCUAACCGCAAGGAAGGAGC